UAGGGAAUCUUCCGCAAUGGACGCAAGUCUGACGGAGCAACGCCGCGGGGGUGAAGAAGGAUUUCGGUUCGUAAAACUCUGUUGUUAGAGAAGAAAAGCGCAUAGAGUAACGGUUAUGCGUGUGACGGUAUCUAACCAGAAACCCACGGCUAACUACGUGCAAGCAGCCGCGGUAAUACGUAGGUGGCAAGCGUUGUCCGGAUUUAUUGGGCUUAAAGCGAGCGCAGGCGGUCAAUUAAGUCUGAUGUGAAAGCCCCCGGCUCAACCGGGGAGGGUCAUUGGAAACUGGUUGACUUGAGUGCAGAAGAGGAGAGUGGAAUUCCAUGUGUAGCGGUGAACUGCGUAGAUAUAUGGAGGAACACCAGUGGCGAAGGCGACUCUCUGGUCUGUAACUGACGCUGAGGCUCGAAAGCGUGGGUAGCAAACAGG
rnacentral:rRNA from 1 species